GGGCCCGCACAAGCGGUGGAGCAUGUGGUUUAAUUCGAUGAUACGCGAGGAACCUUACCAGGGUUUAAAUGCAGAACGACAGGGGUGGAAACACCCCCUUCUUCGGACGGACUGCAAGGUGCUGCAUGGUUGUCGUCAGCUCGUGCUGUGAAGUGUCGGGUUAAGUCCCAUAACGAGCGCAACCCCCAUUUCUAGUUGCCAGCAGUUCGGCUGGGCACUCUAUGGAAACUGCCCGUGAUAAGCGGGAGGAAGGUGUGGAUGACGUCAAGUCCUCAUGGCCCUUACGGGUUGGGCUACACACGUGCUACAAUGGUAGUGACAAUGGGUUAAUCCCAAAAGCUAUCUCAGUUCGGAUUGUCGUCUGCAACUCGACGGCAUG
rnacentral:rRNA from 1 species